rnacentral:rRNA from 1 species
UACGUAGGGUGCGAGCGUUGUCCGGAAUUAUUGGGCGUAAAGAGCUCGUAGGCGGUUUGUUGCGUCGGCCGUGAAAACCUGCAGCUUAACUGUGGGCCUGCGGCCGAUACGGGCAGACUUGAGUUCGGUAGGGGAGACUGGAAUUCCUGGUGUAGCGGUGAAAUGCGCAGAUAUCAGGAGGAACACCAAUUGCGAAGGCAGCUCGCUGGGACGUAACUGACGCUGAGACGCGAAAGCGUGGGGAGCAAACAGG